GUGGAGCAGCCUGGUAGCUCGUCGGGCUCAUAACCCGAAGAUCGUCGGUUCAAAUCCGGCC
rnacentral:tRNA from 1 species